rnacentral:rRNA from 1 species
AUUGAACGCUGGCGGCAGGCCUAACACAUGCAAGUCGAGCGGAUGACGGGAGCUUGCUCCUUGAUUCAGCGGCGGACGGGUGAGUAAUACCUAGGAAUCUGCCUGAUAGUGGGGGACAACGUUUCGAAAGGAACGCUAAUACCGCAUACGUCCUACGGGAGAAAGCAGGGGACCUUCGGGCCUUGCGCUAUCAGAUGAGCCUAGGUCGGAUUAGCUAGUUGGUGAGGUAAUGGCUCACCAAGGCGACGAUCCGUAACUGGUCUGAGAGGAUGAUCAGUCACACUGGAACGGAGACACGGUCCAGACUCCUACGGGAGGCAGCAGUGGGGAAUAUUGGACAAUGGGCGAAAGCCUGAUCCAGCCAUGCCGCGUGUGUGAAGAAGGUCUUCGGAUUGUAAAGCACUUUAAGUUGGGAGGAAGGGCAGUAAGCUAAUACCUUGCUGUUUUGACGUUACCGACAGAAUAAGCACCGGCUAACUCUGUGCCAGCAGCCGCUGUAACGA